AUUGAACGCUGGCGGCAGGCCUAACACAUGCAAGUCGAACGAGUGGCGGACGGGUGAGUAAUGUCUGGGAAACUGCCUGAUGGAGGGGGAUAACUACUGGAAACGGUAGCUAAUACCGCAUACCAUCAGAUGUGCCCAGAUGUGAUUAGCUACUUGGUGGGGUAACGGCUCACCAAGGCGACGAUCCCUAGCUGGCCUGAGAGGAUGACCAGCCACACGGGAACUGAGACACGGUCCAGACUCCUACGGGAGGCAGCGUUGGGGAAUAUUGCACAAUGGGCGAAAGCCUGAGGCAGCCAUGCCGCGUGUAUGAAGAAGGCCUUCGGGUUGUAAAGUACUUUCAGCGGGGAGGCGUUACCCGAAGAAGAAGCACCGGCUAACUCCGUGCCAGCCGCCGCGGUAAUUC
rnacentral:rRNA from 1 species